rnacentral:rRNA from 1 species
UACGUAGGUGACAAGCGUUGUCCGGAUUUACUGGGCGUAAAGAGCGCGCAGGCGGUCGAUCAAGUCGAGUGUGAAAGCCCCCGGCUCAACUGGGGAGGGUCAUUCGAUACUGAUCGACUCGAAGGCAGGAGAGGGUAGUGGAAUUCCCGGUGUAGUGGUGAAAUGCGUAGAUAUCGGGAGAAACACCAGUGGCGAAGGCGACUACCUGGCCUGUUCUUGACGCUGAGGCGCGAAAGCUAGGGGAGCAAACGGG